rnacentral:rRNA from 1 species
UGCGCAGGCGGAAUGAUUAGUCAGUGGUGAAGCCCUCGGCUCAACCGAGGAACUGCCAUUGAUACUGUCAUUCUUGAGUACAGUUGUAGUGGGCGGAAUGUGUCAUGUAGCGGUGAAAUGCAUAGAGAUGACACAGAACACCGAUCGCGAAGGCAGCUCACUAAGCUGAAACUGACGCUCAGGCACGAAAGCGUGGGUAGCAAACAGGAUUAGAUACCCUGGUAGUCC